rnacentral:tRNA from 1 species
GGUAGCGUGGCCGAGCGGUCUAAGGCGUUGGUUUAAGGCACCAGUCUUGAAAGAGGCGUGGGUUCGAAUCCCACGGCUGCCA